UUCUUCGGAGAGUUUGAUCCUGGCUCAGAACGAACGCUGGCGGCGUGCUUAACACAUGCAAGUCGAACGCGAAAGCCUGGGCAACUGGGCGAGUAGAGUGGCGAACGGGUGAGUAACACGUGGGUAACCUACCCCCGAGUGGGGAAUAACUCCUCGAAAGGGGAGCUAA
rnacentral:rRNA from 1 species